rnacentral:rRNA from 1 species
GACGAACGCUGGCGGCGUGCUUAACACAUGCAAGUCGAACGGAAAGGCCCUGCUUUUGUGGGGUGCUCGAGUGGCGAACGGGUGAGUAACACGUGAGUAACCUGCCCUUGACUUUGGGAUAACUCCAGGAAACUGGGGCUAAUACCGGAUAGGAGCUCCUGCUGCAUGGUGGGGGUUGGAAAGUUUCGGCGGUUGGGGAUGGACUCGCGGCUUAUCAGCUUGUUGGUGGGGUAGUGGCUUACCAAGGCUUUGACGGGUAGCCGGCCUGAGAGGGUGACCGGCCACAUUGGGACUGAGAUACGGCCCAGACUCCUACGGGAGGCAGCAGUGGGGAAUAUUGCACAAUGGGCGGGAGCCUGAUGCAGCAACGCCGCGUGCGGGAUGACGGCCUUCGGGUUGUAAACCGCUUUCGCCUGUGACGAAGCGUGAGUGACGGUAAUGGGUAAAGAAGCACCGGCUAACUACGUG